UACGUAGGGUGCAAGCGUUGUCCGGAAUUAUUGGGCGUAAAGAGCUCGUAGGCGGUUUGUCGCGUCUGCUGUGAAAACUCGGGGCUUAACUCCGGGCCUGCAGUGGGUACGGGCAGACUAGAGUGCGGUAGGGGAGACUGGAAUUCCUGGUGUAGCGGUGAAAUGCGCAGAUAUCAGGAGGAACACCGGUGGCGAAGGCGAGUCUCUGGACAGUUACUGACACUGAGGCACGAAGGCCAGGGGAGCAAACGGG
rnacentral:rRNA from 1 species